GAUGAACGCUGGCGGCGUGCCUAAUACAUGCAAGUCGAGCGAACAGACGAGGAGCUUGCUCCUCUGACGUUAGCGGCGGACGGGUGAGUAACACGUGGAUAACCUACCUAUAAGACUGGGAUAACUUCGGGAAACCGGAGCUAAUACCGGAUAAUAUAUUGAACCGCAUGGUUCAAUAGUGAAAGACGGUUUUGCUGUCACUUAUAGAUGGAUCCGCGCCGCAUUAGCUAGUUGGUAAGGUAACGGCUUACCAAGGCAACGAUGCGUAGCCGACCUGAGAGGGUGAUCGGCCACACUGGAACUGAGACACGGUCCCGACUCCUACGGGAGGCAGCCGUAGGGAAUCUUCCGCAAUGGGCGAAAGCUUGACGGAGCAACGCCGCGUGAGUGAUGAAGGUCUUCGGAUCGUAAAACUCUGUUAUUAGGGAAGAACAAAUGUGUAAGUAACUAUGCACGUCUUGACGGUACCUAAUCAGAAAGCCACGGCUAACUAUGUG
rnacentral:rRNA from 1 species